rnacentral:antisense_RNA from 1 species
UUUGAUCGAGCCCAGCCACAGUGGCCGGUCCGCCGGCCGGCCCUGCCCGUAGGUCGCCAAAAGCGCCUGGGCCUC